rnacentral:rRNA from 1 species
UAGGGAAUCUUCCACAAUGGACGCAAGUCUGAUGGAGCAACGCCGCGUGAGUGAAGAAGGUUUUCGGACCGUAAAGCUCUGUUGUUGGUGAAGAAGGAUAGAGGUAGUAACUGGCCCUUUAUUUGACGGUAAUCAACCAGAAAGUCACGGCUAACUACGUGCCAGCAGCCGCGGUAAUACGUAGGUGGCAAGCGUUGCCCGGAUUUAUUGGGCGUAAAGCGAGCGCAGGCGGAAGAAUAAGUCUGAUGUGAAAGCCCUCGGCUUAACCGAGGAAUUGCAUCGGAAACUGUUUUUCUUGAGUGCAGAAGAGGAGAGUAGAACUCCAUGUGUAGCGGUGGAAUGCGUAGAUAUAUGGAAGAAUACCAGUGGCGAAGGCGGCUCUCUGGUCUGCAACUGACGCUGAGGCUCGAAAGCAUGGGUAGCGAACAGGAUUAGAUACCCUGGUAGUCCAUGCCGUAAACGAUGAGUGCUAAGUGUUGGGAGGCUUCCGCCUCUCAGUGCUGCAGCUAACGCAUUAAGCACUCCGCCUGGGGGAGUACGACCGCAAGGUUGAAAC